CAGCUGCACACACCCCUUGCUCUGGGAUCUGCAGCCUGCAGGGGUGUCCUCUGUGUCAGGCUAGGGUGGAGGACAGAGGGGCCCCAAGGACUCCAGAGACCCAGAUGGAGGGACCCCAGCACCCAGGGCUCUUCGGGUAUUUCCCAGCAUUGAGCCUCUCUGCAAGGGGGAUGGGCUGGCCCUCCCCGGCCCACCCGCCCAGCUCCAGCAGCACAUGCAGGCGACUCCUCUGGAAUGGGAGCCUGGUCCUCCCUUACCCUAGCCUGGCCAGGCUGUCCCCGAGGCCAAGGCCCAGUGGCAUGAAAAGGGGGUUUCUGCAGCGCCCAGGGCAGAAGGUUGCUCUCUGGGAACCUCCGGGGCUCAGGGUGUGGCCAGGCCGUCCCUAGCUCAAGACAGACCUUGGGUGAACUGGCGGUACCUCUGGUGGAAUUCCAUGCCAAAGCUUCCGAUGGAGCAGGCUGGCGUUGGGGGCUUGUGUUUCCUGUGGUAUGACCUUGAACAGGGAUGC
rnacentral:lncRNA from 1 species